GAAACGACUGCUAAUACCGCAUAAGCGCACAGCUUCGCAUGAAGCAGUGUGAAAAACUCCGGUGGUACAAGAUGGACCCGCGUCUGAUUAGCUGGUUGGUGAGGUAACGGCCCACCAAGGCGACGAUCAGUAGCCGGCCUGAGAGGGUGAACGGCCACAUUGGGACUGAGACACGGCCCAAACUCCUACGGGAGGCAGCAGUGGGGAAUAUUGCACAAUGGGGGAAACCCUGAUGCAGCAACGCCGCGUGAGUGAAGAAGUAUUUCGGUAUGUAAAGCUCUAUCAGCAGGAAAGAAAAUGACGGUACCUGACUAAGAAGCCCCGGCUAACUACGUGCCAGCAGCCGCGGUAAUACGUAGGGGGCAAGCGUUAUCCGGAUUUACUGGGUGUAAAGGGAGCGUAGACGGUUUUGCAAGUCUGAAGUGAAAGCCCGGGGCUUAACCCCGGGACUGCUUUGGAAACUGUAGGACUAGAGUGCAGGAGAGGUAAGUGGAGUUCCUAGUGUAGCGGUGAAACGCGUAGAUAUUAGGAGGAACACCAGUGGCGAAGGCGGCUUACUGGACUGUAACUGACGUUGAGGCUCGAAAGCGUGGGGAGCAAACAGGAUUAGAUACCCUGGUAGUCCACGCCGUAAACGAUGAUUGCUAGGUGUUGGUGGGUAUGACCCAUCGGUGCC
rnacentral:rRNA from 1 species